rnacentral:ncRNA from 1 species
UUUUAUGGUUGCAAACGCAAUAACAGGGAAUGAGGUGAGAAUCCUCAACAGCCCCCGCUACUGUAAUGGCUACGAAACUCUCAAUAGAGUCACUGAGAUUAACUUGGGAAGACUGGGAGGAGUAGGUUUGAAGCAUAAGUCAGGAGACCUACCAUAGAAUAA